GACGAACGCUGGCGGCGUGCUUAACACAUGCAAGUCGAACGGCAACGCCCUGAUUGUGUGGGGUGAUCGAGUGGCGAACGGGUGCGUAACACGUGAGUAACCUGCUCUUGUCUUUGGGAUAACUUCAGGAAACUGGGGUUACUACCGGACAGGAGCUCCUGUUGCAUUGAGGGGGUUGGAAAGUUUCGGCGGGUGGGGAUGGACUGGCGGCUGAUCAGCUUGUUGGUGGGGUAGUGGCUUACCAAGGCUUUGACGGGUAGCCGGCCUGGGAGGGUGGCCGGCGACAUGGGGACUGCGGUACGGCCCAGUCUCCUACGGUAGGCAGCAGUGGGGAAUAUUGCCCAGUGGGCGGAAGCCUGAGGCAGAGACGCCGCGUGCGGGAUGACGGCCUUCUGGUUGUAAACCGCUUUCGCCUGUGACGAAGCGUGAGUGACGGUACUGGAUAAAGAAGCACCGGCUAACUACGUG
rnacentral:rRNA from 1 species